rnacentral:rRNA from 1 species
UACAGGGGGGCGCGAGCGUUGCUCGGAAUCACUGGGCGUAAAGCGUACGCAGGCGGACCGUUAAGUCGGAUGUGAAAUCCCAGGGCUCAACCCUGGAAGUGCAUUCGAUACUGGCGGUCUUGAGUACGGGAGAGGAGAGCGGAAUUCCUGGUGUAGAGGUGAAAUUCGUAGAUAUCAGGAGGAACACCGGUGGCGAAAGCGGCUCUCUGGCCCGAUACUGACGCUCAUGUACGAAAGCGUGGGGAGCAAACAGG